rnacentral:misc_RNA from 1 species
AAUAAAUGUUACUACAAAAUAAACUGGUACUUUAGUUUGUUUAGUUAAAUAUCAAGUAAUGAACCCAGUAGAGCCAAUUUUCUAGUAUUUCAUUAAUUCUUUGUCCAAAGCAUUGCACACAAAAUGCAUAGUCUUUAGGCUCCGUUUGUUUCACAGAAAACAUUUUUCUUAAAAAUAUUUUCCAUGUUUUCCACUGUUUGGGAGUAAAUAGUACUGUAGGGAAGCUAUUUUCCUGGUCAUGCAAAAUAACUCGUCCAGUUUGGGAAAAUGACUUCCUGUUUUG